rnacentral:piRNA from 1 species
GCUGAGCUUGGACAACAGAUACACAU